rnacentral:rRNA from 1 species
UGGGGAAUAUUGGACAAUGGGGGCAACCCUGAUCCAGCCAUGCCGCGUGAGUGAUGAAGGCCUUCGGGUUGUAAAGCUCUUUUGGCGGGGACGAUGAUGACGGUACCCGCAGAAUAAGCCCCGGCUAACUUCGUGCCAGCAGCCGCGGUAAGACGACGGGGGCUAGCGUUGUUCGGAAUUACUGGGCGUAAAGCGAGUGUAGGCGGUUGUCGUAGUCAGGCGUGAAAGCCUCGAGCUCAACUCGAGAAAUGCGCUUGAUACUGGAUGACUAGAGGACCGGAGAGGAUAGUGGAAUUCCCAGUGUAGUGGUGAAAUACGUAGAGAUUGGGAAGAACACCAGUGGCGAAGGCGGCUAUCUGGACGGUUACUGACGCUAAGACUCGAAAGCGUGGGGAGCAAACA